rnacentral:tRNA from 1 species
GCCUGGGUGGCUCAGUCGAUUGGGCGUCCGACUUCGACUCAGGUCAUGAUCUCACGGUUUGUGGGUUCGAGCCCCACAUCAUGCU